UGGGGAAUUUUGGACAAUGGGCGCAAGCCUGAUCCAGCCAUGCCGCGUGCGGGAAGAAGGCCUUCGGGUUGUAAACCGCUUUUGUCAGGGAAGAAAUCUUCUGAGUUAAUACCUCGGGAGGAUGACGGUACCUGAAGAAUAAGCACCGGCUAACUACGUGCCAGCAGCCGCGGUAAUACGUAGGGUGCAAGCGUUAAUCGGAAUUACUGGGCGUAAAGCGUGCGCAGGCGGUUUUGUAAGACAGAGGUGAAAUCCCCGGGCUCAACCUGGGAACUGCCUUUGUGACUGCAAGGCUUGAGUGCGGCAGAGGGGGAUGGAAUUCCGCGUGUAGCAGCGAAAUGCGUAGAUAUGCGGAGGAACACCGAUGGCGAAGGCAAUCCCCUGGGCCUGCACUGACGCUCAUGCACGAAAGCGUGGGGAGCAAACAGGAUUAGAUACCCUGGUAGUCCACGCCCUAAACGAUGUCAACUGGUUGUUGGGAAGGUUCCUUCUCAGUAACGUAGCUAACGCGUGAAGUUGACCGCCUGGGGAGUACGGCCGCAAGGUUGAAACUCAAAUGAAUUGACGGGG
rnacentral:rRNA from 1 species